GAGCUAAUACAUGCGAAAAAACCCGACUUCUCGGAAGGGUUGUAUUUAUUAGAUAAAGAACCAAUAUUUUUGGUGACUCAUAAUAACUUUACGGAUCACACUAUGUGACAUAUCAUUCAAGUUUCUGACCUAUCAGCUUUAGACGGUAGGGUAUUGGCCUACCGUGGCUAUGACGGGUAACGGGGAAUUAGGGUUCGAUUCCGGAGAGGGAGCCUGAGAAACGGCUACCACAUCUAAGGAAGGCAGCAGGCGCGCAAAUUACCCAAUCCUAAUACAGGGAGGUAGUGACAAGAAAUAACAAUACAGAGCCUUACGGUUUUGUAAUUGGAAUGAGUUAAGUAUAAACCCCUUAACAAGUAUCAAUUGGAGGGCAAGUCUGGUGCCAGCAGCCGCGGUAAUUCCAGCUCCAAUAGCGUAUAUUAAAGUUGUUGCAGUUAAAAAGCUCGUAGUUAAUUUUCUGUUAAUUUUUAUAUACAAUGCUACGGUAUUUAUAUAAUAUUAACAUAAUUCAUAUUACUUUUUAGUAUAUGAAACUUUACUUUGAGAAAAUUAGAGUGCUUAAAG
rnacentral:rRNA from 1 species